GGAAGAAGGGUCCAUGAAAUAUUCAGAUACACUUGACCUCAGAUACUCUUGAGUGUCCAGGCCUCCUAUCACUGCAUAAUUCAAAUGUAGCUUAGCCCACUAUGGUGGAACACACCUAUAAUCUCAGUGAUUCAUGAGGCUGAGGCGGGAGGAUCCCAAGUUUGAGGACAGUCUGGGCAACUUAGCAAGACCGUGUCUCAAAUUAAAAAUAAAAAGAACCUGGGAUGUAACUCAGUAGUAGAGUUCCCCUGGGUUCAAUCCCCAGGGAUACAAGGGGGCGGGGGGAGGCAGGUAAAACUGCUUCUUCAGAUACUCCCUGAGCUGGUAGCACUACAAAGGACCAAAAAAAGAAAGAAAGAAAAAAAUCAUCCCUCUGUGUGGUGAGUCAAUGCUCCACAUCGUGUCUUUUGAAAGCAUCAUGUCUACAAGGCAGGCUCCCAUUAUUUUAGGUGUUCAGUUUACGACUGGAAUUCAAAGAAACCACUUAUUUUGUAAUCAUCUCCAGUUUUUUUCCCUGCCCAGUUAUAUGGAUUUGAUGAUUUUUUUUUUACUUACUCCAUGUAUAUGAGUGUAAUUUUUUUUCCGAGUGAACCAUUUCUAUAUUCAGAGCUUUUAAAGCAAUUGUUGAGGUAUAAUCUACAUAUAGCAAAAUGAAC
rnacentral:lncRNA from 1 species